AACGAACGCUGGCGGCAUGCCUAACACAUGCAAGUCGAACGAGACCUUCGGGUCUAGUGGCGCACGGGUGCGUAACGCGUGGGAACCUGCCCUUAGGUUCGGAAUAACUCCCCGAAAGGGGUGCUAAUACCGGAUAAUGUCUUCGGACCAAAGAUUUAUCGCCUUUGGAUGGGCCCGCGUUGGAUUAGCUAGUUGGUAGGGUAAAAGCCUACCAAGGCGACGAUCCAUAGCUGGUCUGAGAGGAUGAUCAGCCACACUGGGACUGGGACACGGCCCAGACCCCUACGGGGGGCAGCAGGGGGGAAUUUGGGAAAAGGGGCGAAAGCCUGAUCCAGCAAUGCCGGGUGAGUGAUGAAGGCCUUAGGGUUGUAAAGCUCUUUUACCCGGGAUGAUAAUGACAGUACCGGGGGAAUAAGCCCCGGCUAACUCCGG
rnacentral:rRNA from 1 species